UUAAAAAGAAGUUGGAUGUGAGUAGUUGCAUAUAUGGUAUCACAAUGAUGAGUUUAAUUAAUUGAAGGAAAUAAAUUAUACAACAGUCGCAAAAAGAGGAAAUGAGAGAUGGACAGCAAGACGCAAGUUAAAUGUCGGGUUAGUUUAGGCUAGAUUUAGUAGUGUCUACUAAGUACUAACUCUAAGCUUUUGAAUUCUUAUAGAGAGAAAUAAGGACUCCCGUGAUUCGUCUAGAAAUAUUAAGAAACAAAGGAAAGUGAGGUUAAAAUAUUCUUCUUCUAUUUCCGUUAUCCUUCAUCUCUUAGUCAUACCUAUCGCUUUCUUUGGACCAGCCGAACAGCACCUUGUCCUUAGCUUCGAUGACAACAGCAGCAGGUUGCAGCCAGCCGUAGCUCCAGGCUCCAGCCUCCAGCAGCUAUGAUACUUUUGAAGGUUUUGGCUUUUUGGAAAAUUUUGAAGGUUUUGAGAGAUCUGAAAUUUUGAAUUAGGGAUUUUAAAAUUGAAAAGUUAGGGUUUUUUUCUUUCUAUCGUCUGUGACUGAGUGUGAGUAGUGUAGAGGUGUUUUAGUUUUACUAAAUUUUUACUUUUAGAUUUUUAUUUUUAUUUUUUAAAUUAUUUGUAUUGGGUAAUUAAGUUAGGUAAUUGGGUUGGGUUGGGUUGGCCACUUGGGUUUAAAUAUAUUAGAUUGGGCUUGGGUAAAUACUAAAUAGUAAACUAUUUAUAUAUUAUAUUUUUGGUUAACCGAAUUUUUUCGGUUAACCGACCUGUUUCGAACCGAAUUAACCGUUAACCGAAAAUUUAUAAAUUUAUUAACCGGCCCCCGAUCGAAAAAAUUCGGUUAACCGACCGAUUAACCGAAUUCGGUCGGUUAACCGAAUUUUUUCAGUUUUACCCGAAUUGUGCACACCCCUACUUAUAAUUACAUGAUUUUGAAGUAUACUAUGUUAUAUUACUUGAAUGGUGAUUAAAUGGUGAGUUUUAUUUAUUAACUAUACGAGCUUACUAAGCUUUAUAGCUUACUCUGUUUACUUUUCCGUGUUUUAUAGUGUAACCGAAGCUUACUUUGGAUUUGGGAGUCGUUGAAAAUCUCAUCACACUAUCAAGCUUUCAUUUUGGUACUUUUGAAUUUGUGUUUUGGUUAUAUGGCAUGUAUAGGAAUUAUGGUCAUUUUGGUUUAUGGUUUGGUAAUGAAUUUAGCCAUUUGAAUUGGCUUGUAAAUGUUAAGUGUUUGGUUUUGUGUAUAGCCAUGAGAGUUGGCUUAUUUUGGUAUAUUUGGUGAUGUAUAUAUAUGAGCAAAUGGUCUUGGUUAUGCAUUUAGUAAUUGAUAUAUAAAUGUUUGUGGUGAAUGGUUGUUUGUGAAUUGGUAUCCUUAUGAUUUAGGUAAAGUGAUGUAUAAAUGAAAGUGCCUAUAUGAAGUUAACUAGUUAAGUGAAUUGAGAAUGUAAAUUUGGUAUAAAAUUGAAUAGCCUAAUAUGGUACUUGUGUGCCUUGUUGUUUUCGGUAUGGAAAUGGUAUGAAUUAUGCUUGGUUGAGGUUGGUUGAAUGCUUAUUUAUGCCAUAUUAUAUGCCAACCGGUUUGGUGUAGGUGUGUGCAAAUUUGGGUGAACAAAAUGGAUUGGUAAAUAGCCUAUUUUUGUCCACACAGGCAGAGACACGGCUAUGUGCUCAACCAUAUGUGACACACGGUCUGGUGACACAGCCAUUUGUCCCCUAGUGUUUAAUUAGAAAUCAAGUCAGUAUGCUCCAUACGACCUAGCGCACGGGCGUGUGACUUGGCCAUGUGGCAUAAGUCAGUAUACCCUACAGGUUUGGCAUGGCCUGGCACACGGAUGUGUGUGGCCAUUUUGAAGGGCACACGGGAUAGUCACACGGGCGUAUGUGUUGGCCAUGUGACACAAGUCAGAGAGUUACACGGGGCGGACACGGGCUGGGACACAACCAUGUGAUUCCAUUUCAAAUGUCACACGGCCUAUGACACAGGCGUGUCUUUAACCGUGUGAGACACACGGCCGAGCCACACGGGCGUGUGUCACUUGUAUUUUGUAAAAAAAUUCUAAGUUUACUAAAAAUUUCCUAAGUUAUCGAUUUAGUCCUGAACCACUUCUAAAGCAUGUUUUUGGCCUCGUAGGCUCGUAUUAGGGACUUGAUGAAUGAUUAUGAAUGACUUGCAAUUGAAUUUGAUAAUUGUAUGAGAAAUGAAUGUUCGAUUGUAUAUUAAGUCCUAUAAUGCUCCGUAACCCUAUUUCAACGACGAAUACGGGUGAGGGAUAUUAUAGUAUGAGGUCGAGUUUCUAAGGUUGAGCGCUACGCUGGAGGCAUGGUGGCAUCUGAGUAUGAGAAGUGUUUCCGUUUUGAGGAUAGUUUGAGAGACAGUCUACUGGUACUGAUUGCUCUACAGAAGGAGCGGGAGUUCGCGGUUCUGAUUGAGAAGGUGAAAAUCGUCGAGGAUGUUAAGCGCGUGGAGCGCUAGAAUAGGGACCGAGAGAAGAGUAAGAAUAAGAGGGAUUCGAAGCUUUCUAAUUCUAUUCAAAGGCCUAAGAAAAAGGUCAAACCUGAUGGGCCGGUUAGAGUGGGGGCACCUAUUGCUCCUACUAGGAUUCAGCUGUGUGAAGAUUAUGGUAGGCGCUAUUCGGGAAAGUGUUGGAGGCGGAUAAGGGCUUGUCUAAGGUGUGGGUCUUUGGAGUACCGUAUUAGAGAGUGUCCACAGUGGGUAGAUCAGAUACAAGCUUCGAGACCGAGCAUUAUACAGAACCAGAAGGCAGUUCAGCAGCCACCUAGGGGCCGUGGACCGACUAGGGAUGGAAAUGGUUUUGGCUGAGGACAAAGAGCACCAGACAGAGGUCCUGGUCAGACUGAGGCGAGGCAGUCUGCGUUGGUUUAUGCUGCUCGAUGUCGAGAGGAUGGAGAUGGUUCAGAUGUUAUCACUAGUACGUUCUUAAUUUUUAAUGUAUCUUAUACUGCUCUGAUAGACAUAGGUUCUACACACUCCUAUGUAGCUAGUUUUGUUUCUAAAAACCUGAGCACUUCUAGUGAGAUCACUAUACUGAGUCCGUUAAUGCAAUCUGUCCGGGUUAGUAAACUGUAUAGGGAUGUUCUAUUAGAGGUGUAAGGGUCUAUAUUUCUGGCAAAUUUGAUGGAGUUACUAUUUGGAGAGUUCGAUCUGAUUUUGGGUAUGGAUUGGUUGGUUAAGAAUUGAGUCAAUUUGGGCUGCACAUCUAAAAAGGUAGUUCUGAGAACUGAGGACUGAGGAUGAUGAUGAAGUGGUUGUGAUCAGUGAGCGUUGAAAUUAUCUGUCCAAUGUGGUCUCCACUCUUGUGGCUGAAAAAUUGGUUCGAAAAAGGUGUGAGGCGUAUUUGGCUUACGUCAGUGUUUCUGUUUCUAGGGACUCUUCUGUCGGGGAUAUCAAAACAGUGAGGAUUUUUUAGAUGUCUUUCUUGAGGAGUUGUCGGGUUACCUCCGGAAAGAGAAGUUGAGUUUGGAAUUGGGCUUCUACCGGGUGCAGCUCUGGUGUCCAUCAUUCCCUACCGAAUGGCACCGAAGGAGCUUACAGAGCUUAAAGCUCAACUUCAAGAGCUUUUGGAUCGUGGUCUCAUCUGCCCUAGUGUGUCUCCAUGGGGGGCACUGGUUCUAUUUGUGAAAAAAAAAAGGAUGACACCAUGAGGAUGUGCAUUGAUUAUUGAUAGUUGAAUAAACUGACUGUGAAAAAUAAGUACCCACUUCCGAGGAUCGGUGAUCUGUUUGAUCAAUUCUGAGGGGCUUCUGUGUUCUUGAAGAUUGAUAUUCGUUCUGGGUAUCAUUAGUUGGGAGUUAAGGAAGCUGAUGUUCAUAAGACUGCAUUUAGGACUCGUUAUGGACACUACGAGUUCCUAGUUAUGCCUUUUAGUCUAGCAAAUGCUCUGGCUGUAUUCAUGGAUUUGAUGAACCGAAUGUUUAGUCAUGCCUGUAUCAGUUCAUCAUGGUCCUCAUCGAUGAUAUUUUGGUUUACUCUAAGACCAAUGAUGAGCAUGAUAAGCAUCUUAGAGUAGUGCUUUAGAUUCUCCGUGAAAAACAGCUCUAUGCUAAGUUGAGCAAAUGUGAUUUCUGGUUGCGUGAGGUAACUUUUCUAGGACACGCGGUUUCUACUGAGAGGAUCCGAGUUGAUACUAGAAAGAUUGAGGCAGUCCUUGAUUGGAAACAGCCUAAGAAUGUAUCCGAAAUCUGUAGUUUUCUAGGUCUGGUGGGUUAUUAUCAGCGGUUUAUCGAGGGAUUCUCUCUUAUUGCAGCUCCUUCACUAAGCUGUUACGCAAGGGUGUUCCUUUUGUUUGGACUGAUGCACAGUAAUCGAGCUUCGAGAAGCUCAAGUCUGUUCUGACUCAGACUCUUGUUCUGAUACACCCUGAAUCUGAAAAAGCGUUUGUGGUAUACAGUGAUGUGUCACACAUCGGAUUGGGAUGUAUAUUAAUGCAAGAUAGAAAAGUUGUAGAUUAUGCGUCCCGUCAGCUUAAGGCACAUGAAGGGAAUUAUCCGACGCAUGAUCUGGAGUUGGUUGCGGUGGUUUUUGCAUUGAAAAUCUGGAGGCAUUAUCUGUAUGGUGAAAGGUGUAUUAUCUACACUAAUCACAAGAGCCUCAAGUACCUCCUUACUCGGAAGGAGUUGAAUCUUAUACAGCAGCGAUGGAUUGAGCUACUCAAAGAUUAUGACUGCAUGAUAGAGUAUCAUCUUGGUAAAGCCAAUGUGGUGGCCGAUACUCUAAGUCGAAGAGCGAUGAUCGAUUUGAGGGUAAUGUUCUCUCGUCUUAGUCUGUUUGAUGAUGGGAGUCUUUUAGCCGAGUUGUAAGUGAAGACGAAUUGGAUCGAUCAGAUUCGAGAGAGGUUGCGGUUUUGUCAGGUUAAAAGUGGCAGUGCUUUGGAUUUGGGGCUGAACAAAGAUGGAGUUUUGUGUUUUCAAAGUCAGAUUUGUAUACCGAAUGAUUCUGAUUUGAGGUAGCCGAUUCUAAGGGAGGUGCAUAGUAGCCCUUAUGCUAUACAUCCCGGUGGUAAUAAGAUGUGUCGGGAUCUCCAUAAACUGUACUAGUGGCUAAGUUUGAAACAUGAGGUUACAAAUUUCGUUGCUUAUUAUCUGACGUGCCAGCAAAUUAAGGCUAAGCACCAAUUACCUUUGGGUUUGCUCCAACCCGUUAAGAUUCCCUUAUGGAAAUGGGAACGAGUAACGAUGGACUUCGUUAGUGGGUUGCCCUUGACACCUACUAAGAAAGACUCUGUUUAGGUCAUCGUGGGUCGAUUGACAAACUCUACUCAUUUUAUUCAGGUUCGGACAGACUUUUUUUCUGCAGAAGUUAGCAAAGCUAUAUAUUUCUGAGAUUGUAAGACUGUAUGGGGUUCCUGUUUCAAUAAUUUCUGAUAGGGGUCCUCACUUCACAUCUCGAUUUUAGAAGAAAUUGCACGAAGCUCUGGGUUCGAGAUUGGACUUCAAUACUACGUUCCAUCCUCAGACCGAUGGUCAAUCUGAUAAGACGAUUCAGAUACUGGAGGAUAUGCUUUAGAGUUAUAUGAUUGAUUUUCGAGGUAAUUGGGAGGAUUAUCUGCCGCUAGCUGAGUUUGCCUACAAUAACAGUUUCCAGGUAGCAUCCAGAUGGUACCUUAUGAGGCUUUAUAUGGUCAUAAGUGUCGUACUCUGCUAUGUUGGACUGAGUUGGGUGAACUCGAGUUUUGGGUCCUGAGCUGGUUUUUGAGACUAAAGAUAUAGUUAGACUAAUUCGGGAUCGUCUAAAGACAGCUUCUGAUAGGUAAAAAUCUUAUGUAGAUCUGAAGAGGCGUAAUAUUGAGUACUUUAUGGGGGAGUUCAUUUUUCUCAAGGUUUUUCCGUGGAAGAAGGUUCUGAGAUUCGGUCAUAAGGGCAAGUUGGGCCCUAGGUUUAUUAGGCCGUAUCAAAUUUUGAAGUGUGUGGGACCUAUUUCUUAUCAGUUGGAGCUACCUCUAGAGUUAGACCGUAUCCACAAUGUGUUUUACGUCUCGAUGUUGAGGAAGUAUCGAUCUGACCCAUCUCACGUUGUCUCUGUUGAGGAAAUCGAGGUUAGGCCGGAUUUGACUUUUGAGGAAGAGCUUGUUCAUAUUUUGGAUCAUUAUAUUAUGGUUCUGAGGAGGAAUUCCAUUCCUUUGGUGAAUGUUCUGUGGUGGAAUCAUGGUACUGAGAAGGCCACAUGGGAACCGGAGGACUUAAUGCGUCAGCAGCAGCAUCAUAUGUUCUGAUUAGGUAAAUUUUGAGGUCGAAAUUUCUUUUAGGGGGUAGAGUUGUAAUGCCCUGAUUAAUUUAUCCUUAUUUCUGUAAAUAUCUGACACAAAUAUCUGGCUGCUUCAGUGGUUAAGUGUUCUGGGUAUGUGUAUGAGGUCUUGGUUCAAGUCUCAUUUUUGUCAAAUUUUGUUAUUUUUCUAAUUCUAACGCUACCCUUGUUGAGUGGGCUUUAAUAAAAUUGUUUUUAAUUCAUAUCAGAAUAAGUUUGUUGGUUCAAGUGGUAAGGGUGUUGUUGUAGUUGAGGUCCUAUGUUCAAAUCCCUAUGUUAGCAGGGGUGUUAUAUUUUUGCUCUAUUAUCUAAUAAAGUUUCAGUAGAGUUGGGAUUCUGAAAAAUGGCUGUUAGUGGGAUAGUGGGGAGGAAUUUGAGGGAUUCCUAAUAGCUUAUUUUCUUUUCUUUUCUUUUCUUUUUCCUUUUUUCUAAAUUUUCUCUCUCUUCCAUAAUUCCCAAAAGAAUUUUGACGUUAAUUUUCUGCCUAACCUCUGUCACUUUCUUCUUCUUUUUUCCUUUUCGGCGAUUCUGCUUCCCAUCUUUUUGUCUACUGUCGUGAUCUCGUAUCUUGAUAUUUAGGUGUUUUUGGUGCGUUUGGUAAGUGUGGUAAGUGUGGUUAAUUGUUUUGGUUUGUAAAUCGUUGGUUAAUGGGACUCAUUUUGUAGUUUAGGAGAAGUUCAAGGGGCUAGUUGCUGCUAAUUGGCACUCUAGUUGUGUUAAAUCAUCGUUGUUGUUCUAAGGUAAGGGUUUUGGUAGUUUAAAGGGUUGCCUAUCUCAUUGUAGUUCGGCUUAGUCUUAUUUUAAACGACUAAUUUGGUGAUAUGUUGGAAAAUGAUAGGUGAGUGGCUCGGGGGUGUUUUGCAUCGAAACUGUACCAGGUGUGUACCUGAAAUGUAGAAAAACAAAUUUCAGUAAAAGUCAAAAAACUGUUCUAUCGACACCACACGGGCGUGUAGUCACCCGUGUGGUUAGCCGUGCGCGAGACACGGCCGUACAAUCGACAAAGGCAUGGCUGUGAGCAAGACACGACUAUGUCGUGGUUGGAGUGUGGCCUUGUGGGCCACACGGGCUUGUGGAUUUUGGGCCAAAUCGUGUGGGCCACACGGGUAAGGCCAAUCUGGGCAUGUGGGCCUACACGGGCAUUUGGGCCCAUAUUUCUAAAAUUCUCCCUAGGGUCACACUAGUUGUUCUGAUUGACUGUGGGCCUACCGUAGGGUCGGUAAGAGCUAACCAAACCCUAAAACUGUAGAUCUAAUAGUUUAAUAUUCUGUUCUGAGUAUGAUAUUGCUGUGCAUGUCUGAUUAUUCCUUAAUAUGUAUAUAAGCAUGUUGAGCAUGUUUAAUCUGUUAUUUUUAUAUCUUCUUUCUGUAUCUGUUUUGGGGUGAGUUUGUAUAUGUGGAAGAAGUGUUCUGUAUGGCGAUCAUCGUCUAUAUUCUGGCAGCAUGGCUACACAUUAUCUGAUAUGUGUCAUAAUGGCACAAUAUGAUGUUUAGGGUUGGUUAAGUGUUUUUAGCCCCACAUGGUGUGAUGGGAUGAUCGGAGUUGGUGUGUAGAGGAUGGGUGUAGAAUUCUGAUUAUCUGAUCUGUAUGUCUGACUAUGUUAUCUAUAUCUGAAUGGGCAUGAGCCCGAAUUUGUAUCUGAAUGUAUGUGAGUUUUCUUCAUGUUUGCAUGUCUAUUUCUAUUGGGUUUACACACUAAGUUUACGUAAACUCACUUCUAUUUGUCUGUUCUAUUCAGGUAAUCCACAGACUUAGACGAAUCGUUACGGCAGAGUCUUACGGUGACCAGUAGUCUAUGAACUGUAUUUAAUUAAAGGUUUUAUUUACUUAAAGGAUACUUCUUAGAGUUUUAUGUUAAUUGGACUCUCCAGAGUGUUGAUUAAAUUUUUGGGUUUUGGAUUUUUG
rnacentral:lncRNA from 1 species